CGUUCAGAAAUUGUUUUGAUACGUCUUCCGGUGCUCGGUCAUAAAAGACCGCGGUCCCGGCGCGAAAAUUUACUGUCUGUCAUCCCGCGGUAACAAUUCAGUGCAGAAAUAUGAAGUUGUUUGUAGUUAUCGUCUUGUUCGCCUUCGUUGCUGUACAGUUGAGCAGUUCAGCGCCAACGCCGGAUGAGGACAAGAAGGAUGUAGCGGCACCAGUGCCUUCCCCCGCAGCAGCGGAGCCCGCGCCCCCCGCACCAGAGGUGAAGUCAGCGGUGGCAGAACCUGCGCCCUCACCGAGCCCCGAGACGCCGGCCGUAGAAGAAAAGAAACCCUAAGCCCUACCAGACGUGCUCACGACUAGGCACAAUAUGCGGCCCCUGUCAUACGGCUCACAUAUUUAAUGUAAUAUUUGUAUAAUAAAAUCUUUUGACCAUC